ACKGCUCAGUAACACGUGGACAAUCUGCCCUGAAGAAGAGAAUAAUCCCGGGAAACUGGGGGUAAUGCUCUAUAGUCCGGGAGGACUGGAAUGUUCUCCGGAUGAAAGGUCCGCCGCUUCAGGAUGAGUCUGCGGCCGAUUAGGUAGUUGUUGGGGUAAAAGCCCAACAAGCCCGUAAUCGGUACGGGUUGUGGGAGCAAGAGCCCGGAGAUGGAUUCUGAGACACGAAUCCAGGCCCUACGGGGCGCAGCAGGCGCGAAAACUUUACAAUGCGGGCAACCGUGAUAAGGAAACCCCGAGUGCCAGCACAGGCUGGCUGUCCACCAGUGUAAAAAACUGGUGAAGAAAGGGCCGGGCAAGACCGGUGCCAGCCGCCGCGGUAAUACCGGCGGCUCGAGUGGUGGCCGCUUUUACUGGGCUUAAAGGGUCCGUAGCUGGAUCCACAAGUCCCUUGAGAAAUCUAUCGGCUUAACUGAUAGGCGUUCAGGGGAUACUGUGGUUCUAGGGACCGGGAGAGGUGAGAGGUACUGCCGGGGUAGGAGUGAAAUCCUGUAAUCCCGGUGGGACGACCUAUGGCGAAGGCAUCUCACCAGAACGGCUCCGACAGUGAGGGACGAAAGCUGGGGGAGCAAACCGGAUUAGAUACCCGGGUAGUCCCAGCUGUAAACGAUGCGCGUUAGGUGUGUCAGUGACCACGUGUCACUGAGAUGCCGAAGGGAAACCGUGAAACGCGCCGCCUGGGGAGUACGGUCAGCAAGGCUGAAACUUAAAGGAAUUGGCGGGGGAGCAC
rnacentral:rRNA from 1 species